rnacentral:rRNA from 1 species
UACGGGGGGUGCGAGCGUUGUCCGGAAUCACUGGGCGUAAAGGGCGCGUAGGUGGCGUGAUAAGGGUGUGGUGAAAGCCCGGGGCUCAACCCCGGGUCUGCCAUGCCGACUGUCAGGCUGGAGUACUGUAGGGGCAGGCGGAAUUCCGGGUGUAGCGGUGGAAUGCGUAGAGAUCCGGAGGAACACCGGUGGCGAAGGCGGCUUCCUGGACCGACACUGACGCUGAGGCGCGAAAGCCAGGGGAGCAAACGGG